rnacentral:rRNA from 1 species
AUUGAACGCUGGCGGCAGGCCUAACACAUGCAAGUCGAGCGAGCGGCGGACGGGUGAGUAAUGUCUGGGAAACUGCCUGAUGGAGGGGGAUAACUACUGUAAACGGUAGCUAAUACCGCAUACCAUCAGAUGUGUCCAGAUGGGAUUAGCUAGUAGGUGGGGUAAAGGCUCACCUAGGCGACGAUCCCUAGCUGGUCUGAGAGGAUGACCAGCCAGAAUGGGACGGAGACACGGUCCAGACCCCUACGGGAGGAAGCAGUGGGGAAUAUUGCACAAUGGGCGCAAGCCUGAGGCAGCCAUGCCGCGGGUAUGAAGAAGGCCUUCGGGUUGUAAAGUACUUUCAGCGGGGAGGCGUUACCCGAAGAAGAAGCACCGGCUAACUCCGUGCCAGCCGCCGCGGUAAUUC